rnacentral:rRNA from 1 species
AAUGAACGUUGGCGGCGUGGAUUAGGCAUGCAAGUCGUGCGAGAACCGUAGCAAUACGGGGACAGCGGCGAAAGGGAGAGUAACGCGUGGAUACCUACCCCCAGGACCAGGAUAGCCGCGGGAAACUGCGGGUAAUACUGGAUAAUGUCUCCGGACCAAAGGUGUGAUUCCGCCCGGGGAUGGGUCCGCGUCCUAUUAGCUAGUUGGUAGGGUAAUGGCCUACCAAGGCAAAGAUGGGUAUGGGGUGUGAGAACAUGCCCCCACUCACUGGGACUGAGACAGUGCCCAGACACCUACGGGUGGCGGCAGUCGAGGAUCUUCGGCAAUGGGCGCAAGCCUGACCGAGCGGCGCCGCGUGCGGGAUGAAGGCCUUCGGGUUGUAAACCGCUGUCAGAGGGGAGGAAAUGCCGUGGGGUUCUCUCCACGGUUUGACCUAUCCUCAGAGGAAGGACGGGCUAAGUUCGUGCCAGCCGCCGCGGUAACAC